rnacentral:rRNA from 1 species
GACGGGGGGGGCAAGUGUUCUUCGGAAUGACUGGGCGUAAAGGGUGCGUAGGCGGGUCUUUUAAGUCAGGGGUGAAAUCCUGGAGCUCAACUCCAGAACUGCCUUUGAUACUGAAGAUCUUGAGUUCGGGAGAGGUGAGUGGAACUGCGAGUGUAGAGGUGAAAUUCGUAGAUAUUCGCAAGAACACCAGUGGCGAAGGCGGCUCACUGGCCCGAUACUGACGCUGAGGCACGAAAGCGUGGGGAGCAACAGG